rnacentral:rRNA from 1 species
UGGGGAAUAUUGCACAAUGGGCGCAAGCCUGAUGCAGCCAUGCCGCGUGUGUGAAGAAGGCCUUCGGGUUGUAAAGCACUUUCAGCGGGGAGGAAGGCGUUAAGGUUAAUAACCUUUGCUCAUUGACGUUACCCGCAGAAUAAGCACCGGCUAACUCCGUGCCAGCAGCCGCGGUAAUACGGAGGGUGCAAGCGUUAAUCGGAAUUACUGGGCGUAAAGCGCACGCAGGCGGUUUGUUAAGUCAGAUGUGAAAUCCCCGGGCUCAACCUGGGAACUGCAUCUGAUACUGGCAAGCUUGAGUCUCGUAGAGGGGGGUAGAAUUCCAGGUGUAGCGGUGAAAUGCGUAGAGAUCUGGAGGAAUACCGGUGGCGAAGGCGGCCCCCUGGACGAAGACUGACGCUCAGGUGCGAAAGCGUGGGGAGCAAACAGG